ensembl:lncRNA
GGUGAAGAUCGAAUGAGUGCUUAGCUAAGUGCCUCAAGUAGGGUAAGUGCCACAUAUGGUCAUUGUGACAACGGAGGAAUGUCCACUGAUGUCAGGACAAAGAAAAUUCUGUUCCAUCCUGAUAACAAUCUGGAGCUGAAGAUGGUAAAUAAGAAAAGACACAGAGAUAGGCUGUUCUGAAGGCACCUAGGAUUGAUUCAUCCAGCCUGCAUACCAUGCAUCCAUGCAUCCAUGCAUCCAUCAGAGAUGCAACAAUCUAAACAAAAUUAAAAAAAAAAUCAUUCUCUGACUCUUGCAAGGGUGUCUUUAACCCACAGGGAGAUAAGGCCUGAAAUACUGGGGUUAUUGGAGAAACCCUUUUACGGUUCUGCUGCCUCCUUAAUGGGGGAGCUAGAAAAAAUAAAGUCAUGAAGGGAGCCAAGACCAAUGACGUCUUGGUAGGAAGGUCAGCAACAAGAAAAGAGCAUGGAGGUUAAGUGCCUCUCCUGGGGCAAGUUCUCUCCUGUGUGAAGAGCUUGGUGGGGCUGGAUGCGGGACUCUCUAGCCCAGUGCACCACAGUCCAGGGGUCUCUGGCUGACAGCCCACUAGGUUUCUGAGCUGGUGUGAGGAGAGCAGGAUGGUGGGAAGCCAGGCAGAGCUUUGCUGAAGUUACAUCUCAGAGCCAGGGAGAAUGGAAAAUACCACCCUCUGCAGUAGCCUCACAGGAGUGUUAGGAGCUGACCUGUUAAUAGCAAUCAGAGUGAAUAUGGUGGGUCUUUUCUGCCCAGCAUCUAUUGCCCUGUCUCCUGCUUACCAAGCCAGCUCUAAACCCAUAGGUUCAGCAGAGCUGACUCUAGCUCCAGAGUUGGGCAAGUGACCAGGGCUUGACUAAUCCCAGCAUCAGUUCUUCUAGGCCACUGUAGUUGGUUCAGGGUAGACAUGUGACCAAAUUGGUCAAAUGGGAUUCAAUUUCUGAACUUUUGUUUGAACUGUUUGGGAAUAAAAUCUCUCUCUCUUUUCACUGGACUCACAGUGAAGAAGAUAUGGGUCCUGGAGCUUUUGGAAGCUAGUGAGUACAGGGCUAACACAGCAAAGCAGUGUUGAGAGAAGGACAGAAAUCAUAUCCUGAUGCCAUGUGUGUGAGCUCCUGGAUCCAAACAUACCUGAAGGGUGACUGAGUUUUUCAGAGAUUUGAGGGUCCUGAUUGAUCCACUGGCUCUCCAAAAAAACACAUCUGGCUCUCUGAACACCAUUAGGUGGGAGAAAUCUCACCACCAGAAUGCAUUUCCACUCUCCACCCUUCCUCUCAACUCACAAUGGAUUACUUUCUCUGCAGCAGUUUAUAAGCUGGGAUCCUGGCAUACAAAAGGAAUAGGACCUGGGUGUUCUUUUCAAAGACUCAUGGUCUAAAGCGAGUGACAAACCUAACUAGAAUAGCCCAGUAUUAAGAUGUUCCGAGAUGAAAUAAAAACUGUCAUAGGAACUAAUUGGAGAAAGGAAGCCUGGGUCUCAGAGGGGGCUGGAUGCAGGACGCUCUAGCCCAGUGCACCACAGUCCAGGGGUCUCUGGCUGACAGCCAGAGUGUUCAUUAAGGCUGUUGAGAGGAGGUGAUAUUCAUUCAUUCCAAUAGGUAUCGAUUGAGUAUCUGCCAUGCGUCGUACACUGUGCUAGGUGAUGGGAAUACACAGUUAUUUACAAACAGGUCCCUCAAGGAGCUGAGAGUCCUGUGGAAACAGGGGCACCAGACGUCUCAGAUAAUCGAUGGGGGCAGGAGGAUCAUGGUGCUAGGAGAACAAAUAACCAAAGAACUUGGCUUCGGGAUCUAGGGGAGAAGUCCCUGAAGAGGAGAUGCUGGAGCUCAUAGUUGGAGGAGGAGCAGGAAUUAACUAGGACACAUGGUGUGAGAACAUGAGGAAGUGUUCUUGGCAGAUGGAAACAGCAUCUGUGCAGGUUCCAUGGUGGGAAGGAGCAAGGUAACCAAAGAAAUAGAACAAAUUAUUUGGCCAUUGAACUGAGAAGUUGGGACCUGUGAUCCUUAACUCCAUGGCUUUCUCAUCCAAGAUGUUUUUUAAAAAAUAACCCUGAGGAGUUCUUGUCGUGGUGUGCAGCAAGACGAAUCUGACUAGUAUCCAUGAGGACACAGGUUCGAUCCCUGGCCUUGCUCAGUGGGUUAAGGAUCCAGUGUUGCCAUGAGCUAUGGUGUAGGUUGCAGAUGCGCUUCGGAUUUGGUGCCAGCAGCAUAGGCCAGCAGCUUCAGCUCUGAUUCGACCCCUAGCCUGGGAACCUCCAUAUGCUGUGGGUGCAGCCCUAAAAGGACAAAACAAAAUAAAUAAAAUAAACUCACCCUGAGUAUCAUUAUCUUUAUCUACAAAAUGGGAUAGGAAUAUUCCCUUUGCAGUCUUGUUGAGGGGAUUGCAUGAGAUGACGUGUCAAAGGCCCAGCGCAGAGAAGACGGUCAGUAAAUAACAUUUUCCUUCCCCUUAGUUCCCAUCCUGAUCAUCAUCAAGUGUGAUGUGCACUGUUAUUUGGUUUCCCAGAAUUUUCUCUUUCCUUCUCUGAAGCUUCCUCCCUCUUCAUUUGCUCCCUGCAGCUCUGCCCCCAGAACCAAGUUCGCAUAGGCUCCUCCAGGAUCUUAAGACCUGGGUGGGGUAGUGAGGACAGAGAUAGGGUGUGGUCUCGGCUGAACUUUGCCUCUCACUCCUAAAUGCAUAUGUUAAAGUCCUACCUCUCAGGACCUCAGAACGUGGCUGUAUUUGGAGACAGGGUCUUUCGGGAGGCAAUUAAUUAACAUGAGGUCAUUAGGAUGGGUCUUAAUGCAGUAUGGCUGGUGUCCUAACAAGAAGAGGACGUCGGGAUAUUUCUAUCUGUGGAGGGAAGACCAAGAGACUCAGGGAUGGAGUUUCCAGGUGGCGCAGCAGGUUAAGGAUCUGCUGUUGUCACUGCUGUGGUAUAGGUUUGAUCCCUGGCCUGCAGGCCACAGGAGAGGCAAAAAAAAAAAA